rnacentral:lncRNA from 10 species
AGUGUCGUCACAAACUCGUGACGUCCCCGCGUGACCUCACCGCUGCGGGGCGAUGGAGCGAAAAGUGAGGAAACUGAAGUCCCGGGAGAGACAGUGGCAAGGUCAAGUAGCAAAGUGCACUCAGCCCUCCCAGCAAGGAGUCUGCCACUCGCGCUUGAAGGACGUGUUUGAAGAGCUGCUUUCCCAGUGGGAUGCUGCCUUAAAGUCUUGAUUCCCUGGCACUCUUUCCUAUUACUACAUUUUAUCGGUGCUGUUUGUGUUAUGCAACGGUAGCAUCGUGUCUCCGGAAGAUAAAAAAGGUCUCGAUACAAACAUCCAUAACCUUCCACCCACUCCGUCAGGAACAACCCAAUCAAAAUAAAGUCAUGAGAAUUUAGCAUGCCU